GUCUUGUAAAUUGGAAUGAUGGGAAUUUAAACCUCUUCCAGAGUAUCAAUUGGAGGGCAAGUCUGGUGCCAGCAGCCGCGGUAAUUCCAGCUCCAAUAGCGUAUAUUAAAAUUGUUGCAGUUAAAAAGCUCGUAGUUGAAUUUCUGCUGCAUCGUCGCAUCUCUUGCUGAGUGCUUCGUUUCGGCUUAUUUCGGAUUGAUUUUUUCUUUCCGGAUGAUUACUUUGAGAAAAUUAGAGUGCUCAAAGCAGGCUUUUGCCUUGAAUAGUUUAGCAUGGAAUAAUAAAGUAGGACUUUGGUUCUAUUUUGUUGGUUUUAGGUACCAAAGUAAUGGUUAAUAGGAACAGUUGGGGGCAUUCGUAUUUAACUGUCAGAGGUGAAAUUCUUAGAUUUGUUAAAGACGAACUACUGCGAAAGCAUUUGCCAAGGAUGUUUUCAUUAAUCAAGAACGAAAGUUAGGGGAUCGAAGACGAUCAGAUACCGUCGUAGUCCUACCC
rnacentral:rRNA from 1 species